rnacentral:rRNA from 1 species
CCAUGAAGCUGGAUUCGCUAGUAAUCGCGCAUCAGCCACGGCGCGGUGAAUACGUUCCCGGGCCUUGUACACACCGCCCGUCAAGCCAUGGGAGCCGGGGGCGCCUGAAGUCCGGGACCGCGAGGACCGGCCUAGGGCGAAACUGGUGACUGGGGCUAAGUCGUAACAAGGUAUC